rnacentral:lncRNA from 1 species
GCAGAUCAUUUUUGUCGGUAUGCUAUGUUGACAGAAUAAAUGGAUGUAAUAUGUGCACUUGUUAAAUAGUCGUGUUUUCAAAUUAGUAAGCAUUUUUUUCUACGUGUUUUCAAAAAGGUGUUUUUUUAAGAAGUGUUUUUUUUUUAAUAUCUGUGACUGAUUUAUGGAUGUGAGAUAAAUUUAAACACAAAACUUUUUUAUCUUGAUCAAAGAUAUUUAUUCAGGAUGUGUUUAACAGACUCGAAUAAUCAUUUUAAAUGAAGUAAAAAAGAUUUUGAUCCUAAUUAACCAACUUUAUAUACAGAUGAUAUGUGGAGGAGUUAUUUUAUUUACCCGUUCAUAAAUUUGGAGAAUUUAUUUUACAAUUGAAGAACAGUUUGAAUCGUUAAGAUUUUUUUCCAUUGGAAUAAUUAUAAAUUUUUAAAUUUAGUAUUACAAUGUGAAAUAUAAAAAAAUUGACGUUUCCAAAAGUAGAUUUGGAUUAAUUGCAACUUUACAAUCUUAAUUAAAGGUAAGUUUAGAUUAGAUUAUAAUAUGAAAUUUAUUGAAUGUGAUAUAUAUUUAUUGAAUGUUUACUUUCAUAAAUAUAUGUUUGAUGAAUCAAAUAAAGUAAAAUGCCUUAAUGGUUCAGCUUACUUUAUCAGUUAAAAAUUACAUUAGCAUGAAGGGUUUAAUGAAGAGGGAAUGUUAAAAAUAGAUUUUAAUAAUUUCAUUCGUUUACAUAAGACAAUAUUUGAAGGUGUUUUGGUAAAGUUUUCAUAUAAAAGUAUGUUUUAUUUAAAUGUUAAAGACAACAACAGUUUUUGAAUUAACAAUUUAAUAAUUAAUUAUUUUCUUUACCUACACCCUUUUACCAUAUCUCUUUCCCUCACCCACUGGGUAUUUGACAAAUUGCGUCUAUUUCAUGGCUUGCAGAGAAAAAAACAUCAAGUAAAAACAUACCUUUUCAGAAAAAUUUUGAUUGAGAAUAGUUCUUUUUAGUUGUUUCAGUUAAAAAUUUUGGGUGGAUCUGUUAUUGUAAAAUACUUUCAUUUUUCGUUCUUUAUGAUUUUAAGAUAGGUGCAAAAAAUUGAAUACAAAGAAGCUGUGAAAUAUGAAAAACAUGCCAAGAGGGUUGAUCCUUUCCUUGGUAAUCAAAUACAUGCACAAGUUUUUAUGCAAUAGGCUAUACAAAACAAACAUUAUAAACCAAAUGUGUGCAUCAGAGCCAAAUAUUUUCAUUCAAAUUGUUCAACUUUUAUCUUCUCUUUUGAAAACAGUAGACCGAAAAAUCCACAUAAAAAUCUUUUGAUAGUUAUUAUUUGUUUGGUAUAUAUUCUGCAUAUUAAUAAGGGAUAUAAAUGUUGGUAAAUUGUAUACAUAGAAAGAUGAAUUUUAAUUUCUCUGAAAAUAUAGAUGUGGGUGAAUAUAACAAUCUUGUAGACUCCCUGGGAUAAUGUUUUAAUUGAGGUGUUAAUUUUAGUGGAUCUUAGAUCUAAUACUUCAAUAAAAAAAUGUUUAAAUAACAAGGGUGGCUUAGGAAAAACUGAAAACCCAAGAAAAACCCAACGUUUGUUAUAAAUAUUAGAUACUACCUAAAAGUAAUUAAAUUUGAUUUUGAUUCAAUGUAGAUUUAAUUUGAAGAUUUUGAUGAGUUGGAAUAUGAAUAAAAUGUCACCUCUGAAAAUUAAAUUACUUAUAGAAAAAUGGAAUAGAAUUUAAUAAUGACCUUUAAGAUUUUUAUACUGUUAAAGGAAGUAAUCUGAUGUUCCAUAUUCUUUAGUGUGAUCAUAAAAUCUCUGGGUCCAUGAAUGGAGAUAUAGGUGACCGAAAACAUCCUGGGAAUAGUUUAAUGGUAAAUAACAUACAUGUCUUGCAAAUAUUUACCUGCUCAUUUGCAUAAAAAAUUAAUUAAAUCUCUAAAUCAUUUUUCACAGUUGACAUAAAAAGAAAAUUAAGUCCUGAAAAUUUAAUUAAGGACUUAAAUAUGACCACAUGUAGACCCUACAGAUUAAUCAUAAAAUUGUAUGUCCUCUUUUAUGGGGUUAUAACAUUUAUUCCUUGACCAAUAAAAAGGUUAAAAUCAGUUCAGCAGAGUACAUGUACUGUUCCAUCCAUGGGCCUCGGUGGGAUUGGUCGAAGUAGUUCAAUUACUGUAUCAUUAGUCUGCAAACUCUGAGGUUGUGAGUUUGAAACCACAUGAGGCAGUAGCAUUCAACUCCAAUCUUUAUUGACUAGGAUUGUCAGUUUCGCUACCAAAGUCCAGUGGUUCUCUCCAGACAAUCAGGCCUCCUCCACCAAUAAAAAAUGACAAAGUUUUAGUGAAAAUAGCCAUAUAGUGCUGAAAAUGGCAUUAAUCACCUAUCAAACAAUUAGUUCAGUUCCAUCCAUGGCUUUGAACAGAUAAAAUGGUGGGACCAAGGAUUCACCAAUCAAUCCAUUAGUUCGGUUCCAUCCAUGGCUUUAAACAGAUAAAAUGGUUGGACCAAGGAUUUAUAUAUAAUGCCAUAUAAAUCAAUUAGUUCUGUUCCAUCCAUGGCUUUGAACAGAUAAAAUGGUGGGACCAAGGAUUUAUAUAUAAUGCCAUAUAAAUCCUUGGUUGGACAGAACCGUUUAAGUGCUCAUUAGGUUGAAAUCUUCAAAUGAGAAAAUGAAGUGACUGUGUUAAAAGUUAUACCUGUACAUCUUUAUUCAUAUACAUGUACUUCAAUAGAGUCUUUGUUGCUCUUUCAUUUAGUAUGUUUGUAAAUUCAUUGAAGAAAAUAGAUGACUGAAAGUGGCUACACAUAGUAAUGUGAUCAUAAGGCUUUUAUGGUCAUUUGUUUUAAAUGUAAAUUUAGGUAAUAGACUUUGUGAUCUAAUAAUCCUUUUGUCUUUAAUUUUUUGUACCAUUCACCUUUUGAAGCUGAAUGAAAACUUUAGGAUUGUUCUAAUUUCAAAAAUAAAGUUUAUGAAUAGGAGUUUCCGCUUCCCUUAAAGAUUUUCGGAAGGAUGUACUCAAGUUAAAAAGUUUAUUUUAAGUAGAUACUUCUGUUUAGAGUAUAUUAAGAAACAUCAAUUAAAUCAGUAGUUGUUGGGGGAGUAUAGACUACUGAUUUGAAAAAAAUAAUUGGUAAUCAAUAGGAGGAUUGACGAAUUAUAUCAGAGAUUGUUUAGGGGGGGAUUGUGGUGAUGAUUAGCAAAAAUUAAGUCAGUUGUUGUUGGUAAUAUUUGACAGACAAAUUAAUUUAGUUGUUGUGGGGAAGUAAAGUAAAGUGAUUUGGGAAAUUAAAUCCCAGAUUUUUGGGUGAGGAUAACCUGAAUAAUGUCAGUUGUUUCUGACUUAUCUUCCAUUGCUAUCUCGAUAGGCCUAUGAUAGGCUAUAUGCCGCUAGAGGGGGAAGAUUUAUAAGAGUUAGCGUGAGGAUUGACAAUUGAUAGACAAAUUUAGUCAGCUGUUAUUUGGAUUACUGAAAGACAAAUUACCCCUCCCCCUUUUUCUUUUUGUGUUACUUUGUAAAUUAGGAUUUUUGAUAGCAGUGUCUUUAAUAUUCAACUUAUUUUUCCUUUAUACUAAGUGCUCUUGCUCUUAUUCUCAAUACAGUUUUGCAAUAUCUGUGGUUUAGAAAGAUUUUUUUUUUAUAUAAACCACAGCUAUUGAUAAAAGCAAGAACAUAUUAAAUAAGAUGAAGUAUUAAAAAAGACUGGUUAAAAAAUAUUAGAAACAUACUAGAAACAUACACAUGAAAAGGGGGUGUUUUAAUAAUUUUUGCAAAUUGCAUGUAGAACUAAAAUUCCAUCAAUUCCCAACGAAUUUUACUGUUUAAACUAUUGAUAUACAUAUAGAUGAGUUAUUUUGAAGUGAUUAUCUCAAACUUUGAGUAUUUGUAUUACCUCCUUUAAAAUGGAAAUCACUAUUCUUGCUGGAUGAGUCUUAAGUGAUAGACUCAAGUAUCGAGUAGAAAAUUGUAACCAUAUAUUAUUGUUUAAGUUGCAGUUUAUAAAAGAUUGAUCUAUUCAAACAUUACCUUGCAGUUUGCAUUAUAAAGCAAUUGCAAAUUCAUUGAUAAUAAAUACGAUUAGAGUUUAUUAUGUGAUCACAACUCUUUUUAACUCAAUUAUCAAAUGCAGUUUUGUAUAAAGUAUUUGUCAGUCCUGGACUCACACGCUGGUAUUGAAAACUGGUGUUUAUUUAAGAAGUUAUGAAUCCAUCAAUCACACAGUAAAACUGCUACUUGGUAAAAUUUAAUAUUGGGUUUAAAACUAGUCUGGUUACCUUAUACAAAUAUCAGUCCAGCUGGGCCAAACAAUACACAUGAAUACCUUACCUCAUCUCUUGAAACUUCAAAAACUUUUCUUAAUUACAGGUAGAAAAUUGUUGAUAGGUAAAAUCUUUACUUAUUAAUUAGAUCAAGGGCACCUGUUUCCUUGGUGUGAAUGAAGCAAUAUAAAAUGGGUGAUAAUGAUUUGUUUGAAUUUGGAGCCCCUUAUUUAUUUGAUAUAAAACCAGUUACAUCACAUAAAAUGGUAUUAUAUCCUACCUUUAUGGUUGCUUAUCACUAAGGUUGUAAAAUGGGGAAUUUGCUGAAGUUUGCCAAAAGUAUUUUAGUCUGACAUAAGCAUGGAAUUAUUGCAUUUCACCUUGGAUUGACACCUUAUAACACUAUGACCUUCUUACGUGUAGUAAGUGAACUAAUAUAGAUUUAAGGACAUAGAUUUGUCCUUUUAAAAGAAAGUAUUUUAGAUAUCAUAUUCAAGAUACAUCUCAUAAUGUAACUGAAACUACCAAAUUUUUACUUUUUCCUGAAGUAUUUUUUCCAUUUUGGAUUGAGAUAUUGUAUAACCAUUUAUAAACAAAAUACUUUUAAGAUCAGAUGAAUACUACUUUAUCGUAUGUAUUGUUGCAGUGUGGAUUUUUGGAAAAUUGUAUAACAUUUUUUAUGCAACUUCAAAUUAACUUAUCAAUUAUAUUUUAACUUUGAAGAUAAACACAAAGAAAAUACAAAUCUUCAACUCCUCAUGUGUGGUGACGUCAUCUUUUGGCUUGCAUCGUUUGAUACUGUUAAAACAAAAUUCACUUGAUGAGAACUAGAAAUUGAUAGGGAUAAGUUUUUCUCCUUACAAUGGAAUAUAUACAACUUGGUUAAAGGUACAGUAAACAUUUUUACAUUACAGAAUUUUUGAUGAAAUGACUGUUUAGGGAUCAUGGAAGUAGUCUAAGUUCCUGGCUCAAAUUAUCAGUAUAAGAUGAGAUUGUGCCUCGACAGCAGGCUAUCAAGGGACACACACAAAGUUAUCUUUCAUAACGCUUAGGUGCCUUUAAUAACCCAAAAUAGGUGUGAAGUAAACAGAAAUAUUACAAUUUCCCAGUAGGGUAUACCUAUUAAUCCCCCUUCCCUUUUUGGAAAAAAGACUUUUAUUGUCCUGACAAGUUGAGCAGUGGUAUAGUGGUAUUUUCUUACAUUCCAUGUUUCAUUGUUAUAAAUCUUAUCAUGACAACUUUGUAGAUAAACAAAUACAAUAUUUUUAAUGUCCCUUGUGUUUUUUUUAAUGUUUUCUAAUAUGCUAAAUUUAAUUAUUCCUCAAACUGGACAGAUAUACUGGUAUAUUUUAACCCUGAUGCUGAAAAAGAUUCCUUCGAUAUUUACACCUAACAAUUAGAUGUAGUCACAACCUGGAAUGGAAUAAGGUUUACUUUUUCCCAGGUCACAUCUAUAAAUCAAAUAAAGUUCUUUAUUUUAAUUGGUCAGUUUGACCAAAAUAUGUAUGUCUACAUCUUAUUACAACAGAUGUAAUAUGUCACUUCAAAGUGAAUCUAUUAAUAUUUUUAUGACCAAAAAGUAUGUUGGCCAUCAACUUUUGACAUUUCUGAUUGACCAUAUGGUCUAUGUAAUAUUAUGUAAAUGAGAUUUAUAAAAAAAAAUACACAUUAUUAGGAUGGAAAGUGAUGUAUGUAGGGAACUUGGUGGAAUAAAUUUAUGGGUAAAGAUAACUAUGUCUAAACCAAGAUGUUUCUUGUGAAUCUAUUUAAAAGAUUAUGAAAUUCAAACAAUAUUAUCCAUCCCACACAUUUUCUGUUGAACAGAAGGGUUUAAAGCAUGUACAUAAAUUUACAAAUAUUAAGAUAAAAAUCAUUUUUCAUGAACUUUAAUUUCAUAUGCUUAAAAGAAUAAAAAAAUGGGAGAACAUUAUUCAAAGUUUAUGCAGGAUGACUUUAUUUUUUGUGAAUAAAUGUUUGAAUUAUGCCAUAAUAAGAAUUCUAUUUCUUAAAAGUAAGCAAAAUAAAAGUCUAUUUGUAUCAUUAGAGAAUCUGAUGUUAGGUUUCAUUUAUGUACAUUUUAUUUUCUUUAAGUAAGUAUUAAUGUAGCUUAAGAUUUUAUUUUGAAUGAAUAAAUCCUGAAGAUAUUAUCAGAAAUUGAGUUUAACUUGUAGAACACCUUCAAUGGAAGUAAAAUUAAAAUCUGAUAACUAAACUAAAUUAUACAAAUAAAAUGUCUCCGGUAUUUGCUUUGUAGAGUGCAAAAUUAGAUAAAAUUUUAACAUUGAAAUUUAUGGGAGAGAAAAAUGCUAAUUAAAUGUCUUGUCAUUAAAAUAUGGAUGACCAGUAAGACAAAAUAUACACAAAAUGACAAAACUAGACCAAUUCUAUCAAAAUUAUUGAGGUGGAAAUGAAUGUUUUGACUAUUGGUAUUCUUGUAAUAAAAAAGCCUUUUUCUCAGAUUUGAAUGUUACCUAUUUUUAUUUUUAUAGAUUUUAGAGAAGAAAAACAAGCCAACACACUGAAAAAAAAGAGCAAUGGGGGAAGGGGGAGGGGGGGGAGUCUUCAAAAGAUUUUUUGAUUAUUAUUUUUUUCAAAAAUAUUAUAUACAGGGUAAAUCAAGUAUGUUUAUGUCCUCUGUGAAAUUUUAGGCAUAAUUUAUACUAAGGUUGUAUGGGACAUUGUAAAAUGUCAUAUAAAUUCAAAUUAAAAAAAAUAUCAGUUAUUAAAUGAAUAAGAUAUUGUCUUAAAAUGCAUCAUAUCAUUAUUACUCCAGAUGGUGUUCAGGAAAAUGCUGCAGAUUGAAAUUUCUAUAGUUUCUUAUGCCAGUAAAUUGACUCUGAGACUACUAUAUACACAUGUGUUAUAGUAGUCUCAGAUUGACUCUUGUAUGGGAUUUGGAUUCCAAAUUUGUAAGCUUCAGUUUACCUGCUUGGCAUUUGCUUGAUAAGUUGGUCACUGACGCAAUAUGUUACUAAAUUGAAAUGUUGUAAAAGAAUAACAUAAUACUCAUGUCUCUUGUUAUCACAGAGUACACAAUGAUACUUAAUGUGUACCCUGGUAAAAUGAAGUUAAUUGCAAUUAGCUUGUCCAGUCACUUGGUGGCCUGUAUGUCUUAUCACAUCUCUACAGUCAAUUAAAAUAUUUCUGAUAGAUUUAAUCACUUAAUUGUUUAUUUGUUAUUGAUAAAACAGAUAAAACAGGGGUAAAUAUAAUUAAUGGUAUUAGACAGGUUAUAUACAAUAGGAGGAGGUGGAUUUUAAAUCUUACUUUUCAAGAGGGUCUCUCAUUGACAUAGCCAAGUCUUUGUAGAUUAUUUUAUUUUGACAUAGCUGGAAUAUAUCCAAGAAAUUUUGAUUAGUCAAAAUAGUCCUUUAAAACUAUAAAAAGAUGAAGCCCUUGUGAUCUCAGUGAAAUAACUCAAAUCAUUUUAGAUUAGACACAAUUUUUGAUUAGAUAAAUGUACAGCCAAUUUGGUCUUUUGAUUAUAAUAAGACAUACAACAUUAAAACAUAUCUGGUUGAAAAUAUAUGUAAACUGGAUCUUAAUACUGCAUGUACAACAUUCUCUGUUUGUGUUAUGUAUGUAAAAGGACUUCAGUUGGCAUUCCUAAAAUCCUUUACACUGAUAUUAACUGACAUAUACAGAUAUAUAUAUGAAGAGAGUUUUGGUGAAUUUUAAUGAAGACAACUAAGAAUAAAUUAUUAUGAUAAAAGAGUUUAAAACCAUGCAUGCUACUACAUGUAUAUCCAAACAUAAACUAUAAAAUAAUUACUUUAUAGUGAGUGACAUCUUGAAAUAAGAAUUGUGUAGCUGUUAUUUAGAGAAUUCUGUUGACAGAAUAAGCAUACAUACAUGAAAAGGGGGAGGGUCUAUCUACCAUGCUGGUGCAUGAUGGUCAUAUGCAGUGUUUGUUUUUCUGAGAAUUUGAAUAUUGAAAUAUCCGUAUUAAAGUGUUGUGAAUCUAGUGCCAGUUUAAACAUUAAAUUAUUAAAUAGCCUAAGGUUGUACAAGUCAUACAUUUUUUCAGUACAUGUACUUAAAGAAUCGUUCUUGUAUCUAACAACUCUUGUAUAUUUUAUAGUACAGCCUGAAGAAUGCCCUAAGAUUUUAUGUAUAGAUUCAACCAAACUACUCAUUCAGAAAAACAAUUCAGGUCAUAUCAGGAAUAAGACACUGUAUCUUAUAUACAUUGUAAUCUUGGUUUUCUAGUACAGCUUUGUAAAUACUUGAGAUGUUGCACAGUUUAUAUUGAAUAAAUCUAAGAAUUUUCAGACAAAACAAGAUAAACCCAACAGUUAAUUAAAAAAGUAAACAUUUAAACCUGUUAACUUAGUUGUUUUUGUGAGCCACAAGAUAACAUAUGUAAAAACAAAGUGAUAGGAUAGAUAGAAGUAUUUUUGAUGUUCAAGAGUGUUUAGUCUGAACUAAUGCCUUGUUUUGUCCAGUUGGUCAUUUUUUAUGUUUAAAGUGUCAAAUAUUUGGUGGAGUUCUACCAAUUACCGGUCUAUUGCCUAAGUACUGCUAAUUUAUCAGAAUUAGUGAUAAGGUUUUCAUGUUUAAGAAAAUUAGAACAUGCUAAAAUCCAGAAAAAUUGUAAUAGUUUAUAAAGGAUAUGUUAUUAGUUAAUAAAGAGUAUGUCAUUUUAUUUUCCAUUCUGCAUACCUUUGUGAUAAUAUAAGAUACAUAUUUUAUAGUUAUUGGACAUUGAUAUCAGUUUAGCCUCUAUCAUUUUAUCAUACGUUACAGUAAGCCUUAAAUGGUGUACAUGAUCCUAUAGCUAUCUAUAGUAUUAUAGUUACAUAACCAUAACAAUAAAACUUAAAUACCAAUAUAAACUUCAAAUAUUUUAAACUUCUAUCAAUAGGCCAUAUUUACAAAUAAAAACUUUGAGUGUGGUCAGUGAAUGUAUUGCCAGGAUUAUUGAAUUAUUUAAACAAGAAUGUGAGAGAUUUUUAGACUUGGCUUUUGUAAAGGUCUUUUAAUAAUCCCGUGUAAUUGUCCUCUUGAAAGCCUUCCUCUGUAAAUAUUUUGAUGACAAAAUCGGUUGAUUUAAUUUUUGGCUGAAUGAAUCUUUCAUAAUAUAUGUAUAUAUAAGAAAAGAACAAUUUUGAACAGCUUCUAUACUUCAGUAGAUAGGUGUCAUUCACAAUUUUGAAGCUGUGUACAAAUUUAGGAGGGUCAAAAUUACCACUUAAAUAAUGUUAAGGGACACUUUAAUUUAUGGUUUAUUUUCAAAAGGGCUUAUUAACACAUAAUAAAAAGUGAGAAUUUGUGAUAAGUACCCUAUUUGGAUUAUAAUUGAUUGUCAGUUUCGAUUAUCAAGAGGAAAAUCUAAUAAACUUAUCUUUUGAGAAGGUGAUAAUGAUUCACACUUACAUAAAUUUCAGAAUUUAUAAAAUGAAAAGUUUAGAAUUUGACAGAUCUUCAUGGGCUUGGAAGACCCCAUAAGGUUUUGUAUUUUCUCUCCGCUAAAUCAUUGAACUAGUUUAUCGUCUGGUCAUUUGGUCUAUCCUAUAGCUAUAAACCCCUGAGCUAGUUAAAUCUUCAUGUAUAGGGUGACCCUAAGCAGAUUAAAUACUGUUUACCCAGAUCUGUGUAUUUGACAAGAGAUCAAGUAUUUUGACCUAAUAGAGAUAUGUAUUUUAAUCAGCUUAUAUAUACUUUAUUGUUAACUUUUUAAACAAUUUUGAAUCAUAUUAUUCUAUUCUGUCUAAAAUCUUUUGUUGUGAAAUAAUUCAGACCAGUAUUAGUGCAGCAGUUUAAAUAAAUAUUUUGAAUCUUCACUGUGUAUCUAGCAAGUUAUUAAACAAGAACCAUCCAAAAGUGUUUUUUGUAUUUUUAUGCACCACUUAGGGAUAUUAUGUUUUUUGGUCUGUGAUUUCGUUCUUAAAUUUGUUCAUUUGUUUGUUCAUUUGUCUGUUCUUCCCUCUGUUUGUCUGUUCCUUCUUUUGUUUGUCUGUUCCUCUCUUCAUGUGUCCCGCUUCAAGUUAAAGUUUGUGGUCAAGGUAGAUUUUGAUGAAGUUGAAGUUCAAUCAACUUGAAACUUAAUACACAUGUUCCUUAUGAUAUGAUCUUUCUAAUUUUAAUACCAAGUUAGAGUUUUGACCCCAAUUUCAUGGUCCACUGAACAUAGAAAAUGAUGGGGCAUAUGUGUACUAUGGACACAUUCUUGUUUAUAUUUAGAAGGAAUAAUGUUUACAAGGAAAUUAUUUAACCUUAAGAUCAUAGAUAUAAAUGUUUCAUUCCUAGAUAAUGUAAAAGGAAAGCAAUUCUAGUCAGGUAUCAUGUUGUAACAUAUUAUGGCUUUAUUUGUCAUCACAUGAAAAUGAUUGUUUAACCUUGAUUGACAAGAAAUAAGCUGUUAGUUUUUUAAUUGUAUUUUAUAUGUUCUAUCCAUGUCUGUUUGUCUGAAAUCCUACCUGCUGAAAAUUUGUCUGAUUUUUGUUCUAUUAGUGUAUGAUGAUUGAUGACUGGCAGUUUGAGGUUGACUUCAUUUCAUUUAAAAAUUGAACUUUACCAUGCCUUUGUUUGUUAUACCUAAAGAUUCAGAGCUGCUUUAAAGUAUAUAGUACAUUAGUGUUCAAUGAAGACUUGCUCUGUUUUGGUUGACCAACAUUUCACAACUGAUCCAGCAUGCAGAGAAUGUGUUGCAUUGUCAUAUCUUAGUUUAGCUCAUCUUGCCCUUCAUGUGCAGUCACUACCCUCUGUGUGUACAAGAUCAGCUGAUUUAGAUGUAGAAUGUUUUUACCUGUUGUUAAUUACAUAUGACAUUAAUUACCUGUAACUACCUGUUCUUGGGUAAUAUAUAGAAGGUCAUGAUCCUGAUAAUUACAUCAUUAAGCUGCAUCCUGGAGGCUGACACUCUCUAUGUAGGAAGAUAUAUUAAUAUAUUAAUAUUUUACAUGCAGCUGCAACAGUUAUAUUUCCUUUAUUUCUAUGAAUUUUGAAAAAGGUCUGCUAAUUAUUCCAAAAAAAGUAACAAUCACAACAGUAUAGAAAGUAAUAUCAGUCUAUUUAAGUAAGGAGAGACAAGUUCUGAAGAUUCUCUCAUUGAGUAAUUAGAAAUUUGGUGAUCCAAAAGAACACAGUCAAUUUUAAAGACUUUACAGAUUUGUUUGAAAAUAAGGCAAUAAAACAAAGAGCUAGCUUAACACAAUUCUUUGCAAAGUCUGUAAGUCAACAACUAACUUUUAGUGAGCAUUCUUGUGUUUCUAAAACACUAUACUUAAGUUUUAGCUAAUGUUAAUGCAGAAUCAAUGGCCAUCAAUGAUUUAUAUGAUUUUAAUAUUAACUUCCAAAUGAUGAUAUGGUCCUUCUUAUUUGAGUUUGAGUAUAUCUUAUCCUCACAAUACCCAUCCUUUACCUGAUCAGAUCAAUAAUAAAUGAAGAUGUCAGAUAAUGGUUUAUUUCUACUGAAGCCUGUACAUAAAAACUACCUGUUUUCAGUAUGAGGAUAACUUCCUGAUGUUAUAGAUAAGAUAUACAGGAAAUAUCUUCAUAAUCAACAUCAUCAUCAAACUUUGUUAAAAAAACAGAUAACAUAUGGGUUCAAAGUUCGCUAAAUUUAGCAAAUGAAGCAACAUUUUUGAUUAUCUUCAAGUUUAGAUGAAGCCUUGUUAGACCUCAGGUGGAUUCUGGGGGGCCCUGAGGGUCGUGUGCCCCCCUUUUCAAGGGAAAAAUUUGGGUGAUUAUAUAGGAAAUCACUGAAGCAUGACUGGAGGGGUCCUCACUUAAAUCAGUCAGCAGGCACUUUACAAAAGUUCUGGAUCCACCACCAUGAGUGUCAGUGAAGACCUAAAGCUUUUGAUUAAUGUCAGAUAUUUUUUGUGUGCAAUAUUACCUCCGUGUAAAUUUAAUUACACUAUGAUGUAAUUACAUGCAUAAAUAAGAUAUCCUGCAUUUAUCUUGCUCUUUCCUGAAAUAAGUCACUUUCCUGACCCCAUCUUGACUAUUGAAAGCUAUCAUUUUGCAUUUAACUAUGAUAUCAUGGUGUAAUUUAGAUACAUGUAUAUACUGUACCAGGCUAACGCCCUUAGGGGUAUAUCUAAUACUUGAUACUGCAGAAGUGCAUAAGCUCCUUACUUUAUGUAGUUGUAUUCCACUUUGUGAAUGCAAUCUCUUUUUAGAUAUUUUUAAUUUUACAUUGGAUUUUUAUCAAAAAGCAGAACUUAUUGUGAAAAGAUUUGUUAGUGUUUUAUCUUUUGUGACAUAACUGUACAGCUUGCAACAUCAUUAUUACAUUGUUAAUAUAAAUAUGAUAAAAUGAUUUAUUUCUUGUCUUUACAAAAACAGAUCAAAUGUAGUUAUAUUCAAAUUUCAAGGCAACUAUUUAAAAAUCUGAUCUUAAUGUCCUUAGUAGUGAGAACACUGAAUUUUAAUGUGAUAAAGCAUUGGAAAGAAAGAAGGUGUCAGAAUCUGGCUAUUCUUGUUAGAGUUUAUGUCAAAAUUGCUGAAAUGUUGUGAGGGUAAGACAUAAGGCACCUAUCUUAAGACAUAAACGCCAGCAGCAGCAAUGUCAAAUUUCAGUUCCUUUACAAUUUGUUUGCUUUUAAGCAUGUUAUGUAUUGCAUUAUUGGGGUGGAUAUUGCAUACUCUUACAUUAAUUGAAGUUAAAAAGAAGCACUUUCUGUAUGUCAGCAGUUUUUUUUCAAUUUCUUUUAGAUUGAUCAGACGUUUAUUAGAUAAUUAUAGGGAGAAACUGUAUAUAGGUCAUACUUGUUACAUACUUUACAGAAAAGUACAAAGGUUUGGGUCAAGUUAGAAAAUUGAAAUGGCUUAAGCAGACAUAUGUUUACUUACUUUGACAACAAAUAAAAUGUGACUAAUUGUUAUUUGAUGUCCAUGUCAGAACAAUCUGUUCUACAUAAAUCACUGCCUAACAAGAACUGACCACUGGUCAAGCAGAUUAAUGUCCUAAAUCUAGACAUAAAUUAUCUCCCCUUGUAUCAGGUGUUGUAAUGUACAUUAGCCAGAUCCAAUUUAUACCUUUGGGGGACUAUUAUUUUUAUGGAUAAAUAACAGUUUUCACAGUUGUGGUGUGAAAAGUUUUAGGCAGUUUAUGGAUAUUAAAAAUCUGGACAGUGUGAAUUAAUCCUUUUUUAAUGUUUAAUUUUUGAUGGAGGUGGCUUUUAGUCCAUAAAAUUUACAUUCAAGGUAGAGAUAAUUGUUCAUUAACUUAAUAAAAUAUCACUUUUCUUACAACUUAUGGUCAGCUAAUCUUGAUAAUGUAUUGGUAUUGUAUUUACAAAUAAUUAUAUUCAUUUAUAAGUAAAAGUAAGGCUUAAAUACGAGAUGAAUUUGAAGAAAGUAGUUGUCAAAAAAGCAUCAAUUAAUGCUGAUACAUUCAGGUAAAAGUAUUCAAAUUAUUUUAUAUAUAUUGUCCAAGAUGUCUAGGUAAGAUAUUUAAUAAAUGCAUUUUUGAUAGUCUGAGUGAAAUUGAAGAACUCAGCAUUAUGAAGCAAUAAAUGAAAAGAAAAAAUGUGGACUAAUUAAUGAUACAUGCAGUUGAAACCAGAAUAAGACAGAUAUAAGAUACUUAUGUUUUGUAAUGACUGUGUGAACAGUUUACAUACAAAUAAUGAUAAAGAUGAUGCCAUAGGAAAUAAAGCAUGUUUAUUAUAAUUGUAAUAAAGCAAAGAUGUUACAAUAAAUAGUAUUGGGAAGUCAGCCAGCUCUUGAUGAACUGAAUUCUUCAGUAGACAUUAAGCCAUCUAUAAACAUUGUUUUCUUUGCAUUAGUAUUAUAGUAAUAUUACAUCACUGAGGUAGAAAAUGGAAGGUGCAAAGCCUCUAUGUACAUCUAUCCAUCCCAACUUUACGAUAUGUAAAAUACCUUUUGCAUUAAGGUUGUUUUUUAUGAGUCCAUGUCAACACUAGUCCUAUUAAAUAAAAACUUUUACCAUGAACUACAUUUCAGGCUCUGGUUAAGUUCAGUUCUCAGAAAACCAGUGGCAAUGCAUAUAUUGAUAUUUUAAAACUCACAUGGUACAAAACAUUGUGUUCAAUGAUUUUUUGGUAAAGUUUUACUUCUAUCCUAUAUUUCUCCAAACUUAGAAAGAUCUUAUGGGGAUGGAAUGUCUCCUUGUACAUUCUAAUAUAAUCCAAGAAGACUAAAACCCAUUGUUGGCAUUGGGAUGUUUUCUGCUCUUUGGUUGGGAUUGUUGUCUCUUUGACACAUUCCCCAUAUCCAUUCUCAAUAUUAUUUAAUUGUUUCUGAAAGGGCAUGUCUUAUUGAUAAUGGAAACAAUAUCAUUUCAGAAUAAAAAACCUGAUUAAAGCAGAAAAUAGAUUUUACAUACAAAGUUCUGAUUUAGAUUUAAAUGAAAACAUGCAUUUACAGACAUAUUUUUGAAAAGGCUCUUUUAUACUUUAUCUCAGAAAUGUAGGCGUAAUAGUUAAUUUUGAUUAUGAUUAAUAAUUUGCACUAAUUUGAAUGAUAUAAUUUCACAAUAAAUCACAAAAAUGUUCUAUUAAGAUCAGUUCUGGCAAUACAGUAGUUUAAAUAACAGCAGUGCAAGUAGGAAUAGAGCCAAGUUUUGAUAUUUAUACAAUAAAAACAGAGCAAAAUGAUGAUCCAAAUAAAAUGUUAACAGUACGAGUAGGAGAUGAGCCAAUAUAUUAAUUUACAUGAUUUUGAAAAUAAUGGCACAGAGAAUGUGUUUAUAUUAGAACAAAAUGUAUAAACUGGUUGUGUAGUUUUUGGAAUGUUCAUUACAUAAUUCUUGAGAAGGUUAUAGAUGUAAGAAUUGGUAAGAAAGAGGUUUUAUUAUCAGUUAAAGAUGGGGGAAUUUGCACAUUUACAAAAUACAAGAGGUUUUAUCUGCAGUUUAUUCAAAAUUUGUAUUGUGGUUUUAGUUUUAUGCCAUGUUUAUUUCUUGUCUGCCAUACUAAGCAAGCUGUCUAGCUACAAAAUUCGCAAACCAGUUACUAUACUACUAUGAUAUCAUAACUUGACUAUAAUAUCAUAACUUGAGUAAUUACAAAAUGCUAAGUAUGGAUGAAUGGAUAUUUAAUGACCAGAUGUUAAUAAUAACAUGCAUUUUUAGGAAUGUGAUAUGAAUAUGAACCCUGUUUUGUACUAGAUUGACACUCUGGGUGGGAUUUUGAAUUUUUUAGUUCACGAAGUAACGUCUCUCUCAUUGCCUGGCCAUUUUAAUCUUGCUCUUUACUGAGCAUUACUUAACAGGCUGUUAGACUUUUAUAAGUAAAAUUUGCCCAUGUGAAAAACAGCAUAAAACAAUUUAAAAAAUCUCUGGUUUGAGUCGGUCAAGGAUAUAACUCAUAACCUCAUGCUUUCAAGUCAAGGAUAUUACAGAGAGGCAGUUUUGAUUUCUAGACUAAAAUUAAACUGUAUGAAAGUGAGAUUCAUUUAUAAUGGUUUUGAAAGUAAAUGAUGUGCAUUGGUUGGGAUGUACACAAAAGAUGGAUAUAAAUACAGUGCAAACUGUGUUAUCCGACACACAAGGGGACCAGAAAAUAAUGUUGGAUUAAGCAUGCAGGGUGUCAGAAUACUCAGGUUUUUUUCUGCAAGGAAAGGCAUAAUUUGGGACCAUGAAAAUGUGUCUGUUAAAAUUUAGCAGGAUGUUGAAAUACUCAGGUGUUGGAUUAGGCAGGCUACACUGUACUUGGUUAAUUUUAAACCUUUUAUGCUGAUGUUUGAAAACUAGAGGAAUAAUUUUUGAAAGCACUCUUGAUUUUUUGAAAUCCCAUAAUGAGUAUGCUUUUUUUUGCUGGAAGCCUACAAUGAUAAAACCCCUUUAGUAUGUUUGUGGUAUUCGAUACAUAGGGUUUGUAAGGUUGACAGGUAAAUAUGAAACCAUUUCAGUAUGUAUUAAAGUAUGUAAUAAUUAUUGCUCUUUAUAGACGGAAAAUGUAUACCUGUAUUAGUGAGUUGAAUAAAGGUGUCAUGUAGGGGAUUAGGUUCACUUCUACGUAGUCCAUUGGAUUUACUCCAUUUACAAAAUAUUAUUAUAAUCUAAUGUGCACUAAAAGUUUUACUUUGUCAUGAUCAUGUGGCUUUAUUAUAUGUCGCUUUAUUCAUAUGUAGUUUAUAUAAUUAAUUUUCUUUUGAACCUGAGCAUCUGAGAUCGACCCAGGUUUUUGUUGGGGUUCAUUUUUGUCUUCAGUUUUCUAGGUUGUGUUUUGUGUACUGUUGUGUGUCUUUUCGUCAGUUUUUGUUUUUUUGCCAUGCGGUGUCAAUUUGUUUUUCCACUUGUGAAAUUGACCUUUUGGUAUCCAGUGGCGGAUCCAGGGGGAGGGUUCUGGGGUUGGAACCCCCUUUUUUACAACGUUCAAUGCAUUUGAAUGGGGACAUAUAGUUGGAAUCUCCCCCCCCCCCCCAUGUUCUCCUGGGAUGGGACCCCUUUUAAAAAUGACUGGAUCCUCCCCUGGUAUCUACACUGUAUAGAUAGCAUGGACAAUCCAAACGACCAUCAUACUUCUGAUCUUAUUAGAGUUAAGGGUUUAUAAUUUGGUUGCAUUGGUCUAUAACCAGAAUUAGUUUGUCAGUUAAUCAAAACAAUAGGAAAUUUAAGUAGAUAGUUCUGAUACCUUAUUAUAGUUUUUUGAAAGGCUUUAAUUCAAGAAAUUAGGUAAUAUUAUCAGUGAAAGAUCAUGCAGCAUUGUUAGGGAAUGAAUUGUUAGAUAAAGUGUUAAUAGUUCAGAAAACAAAAGAUUGCAGCAGAAUAGGUAUCAGGCACCUCAGAUCCACCCUUCGAUCAAAUUUACUCCUUAUUCUGAUGUUCUAGACAGCUAAUCUGUAAAAUUCAUUCAGAGAAAAGAAAUUUAAAUGAAUGAAUAUUUAUCAGCUGUGGGAAUUACCCUUUGGCGACAAAUUGUAUUGUUUAUGAUAUUUUUUAUCGUAUUUGAUACAUCUCGUUUGUAAGGUCGACAGGUAAAUAUGAAACCAUAUAAGGACGUAUUAAUUAUUGCUCUUUAUAGACAGAAAAUAUAUACCACCUGUAUAGGAUAAUGAGUUGUAUGAAGGUUUCAUGUAGGGGAUUAGGUUCACUACAACCAGCCUGCUGUUAGGUAUACAUUGCUUCUGUACCUUCAUUCAAAUGAAAAUAAGAAAGCAUGUUAAAAAACAUUGAAUUAUAAAACUAUAGAUCAGCAAUAUAAUUAAUGGUCUUCAUCUGUCUUCAGUAAUAAUUCACAUAUGCAGACAUAAAUAUAAAGCCUUCUGUAAUAAGAACUGUACAAUAUGAGUAUAUUAUCUAAUAGGAGAGGAAAAUAUAAGUAUAGACUUUGAGUGCAUCAAAGUAGUUGUGGUAUCUUGUUAUUAUAUAAUACAUAUACUAUACACUUAAUGUGUGCCAGUCAUAUUGAAUUGCAAUCUUUAGCUUAGUACAUCUUUAUGGGAUGCUGUAGCUUGAUAUGUUUUAUGUGUUAUUGACAAAAUGAGGUUUAGCUUCUUUUUUUUUUGACAUGAGCAUCUCCUACUAAUAUACAAUUAUUCCUUAGCUAGCUGUUUUUUUUUCUUCAGUUAUUUUUGAGGAGGAAUGUUAUUUGUUGCUUUGUAAUAAUUUACUUUUGAAUUUCCAAUGUUUGGCUUCAGGUACCUCUGAAGAGUAAUAGUUUUUGAAAUUCUCUUAUGAUGUAUCAAAAACAUUUGUAUUUCCCCAACUUAGGGGAAGGAUCAUUAAGAUUUACCAUUGUUUGUCUGUAGGUACAUCGAAAAAUUAGUUCUGUUCUCUAACUUUAGUUUGCCUCAACCAAAAGUUUGAACUUUGGUGGCCUCACUUUUAUUGUUAUUGAGUUAUGCCCCUUUACAAAUGGAAAACUGCAGAAUUUUACAUUUUUGUUUUCUAACUUUAGUUUGGCUUAAGCAAAUUUUAUGAAACUUGUACACAAUGCUAAUUACAACAAAACCCAGAUUAAGUACAAAUAGUGUUGUUUUUACCAACCCUUUAUAAAUUUAUAUGCAAGCAUGGGCAACUUGGGCAUGAUAUGUUUCCCAUGGACACAUUCCCAAUUGAUUGUUUCUUAUAAUUUUGCAUAUUAAAGGAAAAAUAAAUCAAAACUAUAACAACUUUGAAUCCAUUUUCAUGGUUUUAGUUGCAAAAUUUGAUUAAAGGCAUUAAAAACAGAAUCUCAUGCUAACUGAAAAUAAGCUAGUCAUAAUAAGACAAAUUGAUAGAACAUAAAAAAGUCUGCAGUCUUCAUAAAACUUUGUUAUAUGUAUGAUUGAAGGCAGUGUGCAUGUUCAUUUAAUCACUUAAUACUAUACAUGUAUAUGAACUACUGUUAGUUAAAAUUAUGAUAAAUGAAGCCCAUUGAAGCAGUUACCAUAAUUCUUUAUUCAUCUAAGAAACACUUCUUCCAUGCAUGUCAACCUUAUAAAUUGAAUUAUAUUAAACAUCAACUAUUAUUAUUUUUAAGUACCCUCUUACAUAAUAGUCUCAAAAAUUAGUAAACAAAAUUUUUAGUUUACUAAUAGAGAAGUCACGUUGUACAAAGUUAAAAGGUAAUUUAUCUUGUAAAUUGGAAAUUUAUAGCAUGUAAUAUUUUUUUUAAUUUUACAAAAAAUUAAUGAAUUUCAUGAUCUUUUUUCAGAAAUCUUGUGGUCCAUGCAGUGAAAUGGAAAUGUGGACAAGAAAUAGACAUCCAGAAUGACAUUUUGGAGGAUCGUAUUCCAAUUUGUUGUUAUAACAACGGUGUAUGCCACUACAACAGAAGUUAACCCAUCAUUCCCAAAGGAGUUUGAUUUCCGCUUUACCAGUUAUGAAG